UAGGGAAUUUUGGGCAAUGGGGGAAACCCUGACCCAGCAACGCCGCGUGUGGGAUGAAGGCUCUCGGGUCGUAAACCACUGUCAGGAGGGAAGAACGGCUCCACGGGUAAUAUUCGUGGGGUUUGACGGUACCUCCAAAGGAAGCACCGGCUAACUCCGUGCCAGCAGCCGCGGUAAUACGGAGGGUGCAAGCGUUGUUCGGAAUUACUGGGCGUAAAGAGCGUGUAGGCGGCUGGGCAAGUCGGAUGUGAAAGCCCCGGGCUCAACUCGGGAACUGCAUCCGAAACUGCCUGGCUAGAGUCCCGGAGAGGAAGGCAGAAUUCCCAAUGUAGGGGUGAAAUCCGUAGAUAUUGGGAGGAAUACCAGUGGCGAAGGCGGCCUUCUGGACGGUGACUGACGCUGAGACGCGAAAGCGUGGGGAGCAAACAGGAUUAGAUACCCCCGUAGUCC
rnacentral:rRNA from 1 species